rnacentral:tRNA from 1 species
GUUGUAGCUCAGUGGUAGAGUACUUUCCUAGUAUAAAUGAAGCCUUAGGUUUGAAUCCUAGUAAC